GUGUACAUCUGUUGUGAAGAAGGGGUGCAGCUGGAAAAAAUAGAGCGUCAAUUGUACUUUCUGUCCGGCCCAGGGCUGCACUCGGUGACUGCUCUUCGUCAAAUUCCUUCUUAAACAGUGGUCAAGUAUUCUUCCGGUGCAGCUGUUAUUUUCGGGUCCUGUAUUCUGCUUUGUGCUGACCCUGUAAUCUCAGCAGUACCCAUUCGCCUAGCAGGGCUUCGGGAUGCUUCCCCGACUCUCCUCGCACCUUCACACCAACGCACUCCGGGAAUGUUUCUGAUGGGUGUCAAGUCCACUCUCUGAUGAACGGACUCGUGCUUUGAGAGCAUCUUCAGGGUCAGUGCAUCCAGUGACCGUUUCAUGACACCGUUUGCCUCGAGCGCCACCGCCUGGCCAAAACUGGAACGACCUGUGCCCGUUGCUGAGGAGGAAAAACACCCGGGAUGGAAUUUCUAGUUUUUGUGCAAUCCUCAUCCUUUUCCAUUUUCUGUAAAGUGACGAUGACAGAUAUUUUCGCUUACUAAUGCAAGUAUUUUUCAUCUGAAUAAAUAUACCAAUUUCUCUGGCAAUAAUUUGGGUUUAAAAAUACUGAGGCUGGCCCGG
rnacentral:lncRNA from 1 species